UAGAAACGUACUUAUUCAACAGAAUGAAACCUACCUAAGAACUAACGCAAUCCAAGUGCAUAAGGUCAAAAUGGACCAAGCAAACACUGCUACACCAGCCAAACGAGAACAAACUCAACACAGAAGGAACAAGCAUACAAUUGGCACCAUUGCUACGAAUAUUCAUUGGUACAAUCUGCUUGCAAUCUACUGCAGCCAGUACAGAUGACCUGAUGAAUCAUUCAUGCACACCUUAAGGACAAUGAUGCACCCCUGAUAGGCUGAUAUAGCUUAAAGUUUGUAGCAAGGCACCAGGUUCAUGAAACAAACAUCAAUUCCCCAUCUCAUAGGCAUCUCUAAUAAAGUAGUAGUAAUAACAAUAGAUAAUCCCCAACGAAAUGCCAAAAUAGCAGCACUCCUCGGUGGAUCAAGGCUCGGGGUCAGCACCUUACUCCUCCGUUGGGGGCGGAGCAGUCACCGACGAACCCUCCGACUCUUCAGCGCUCGGUUCCGCGGGGGUCUCUGUUGCGGCGGCGGCAGCGGCGCGCGACUUGGCGAGCUCGAGGAGGCGGCGGCUGACCUCCUUGGAGUAGGCCUGGAGGACCUCGAUCCCGUCCUCCAGGGAGGUGGGGGAGGCGGCGGCGGACUCCGAGGCGGCGGCGAAGGCCUCGGCCUCGACGGCGGCUGCGGCGCCCUCGGCCUCGGGCUCAGGGAUGGCGCCGUAGCGCUGGGAGAGGACGCUGGGCGCGGACAGGGUCUGCACGACGCGCCGCACUACGGCGUCGCGCGUGCGCUGCGACGGCGGCCAGAUGCUGAGCGACGGGAGCAGCGUCUCCGACGAGGACUUCUCUGCCGACGCCGGAGGUGUAGCGGCGUCGGCGGAGGCUUCGGUAGGCGCGGGGUGGAUGUCCUCAGCGCCGGCGUUGGGGGCGUCCUCGGCCAUGGCGUGCAGAGCUAGGGGAAGGGGGCGGAGAGGGAGAGAUCUGUGGCGUGGAGUGGGAGGAGAGCGAGGUGUCCUUCUGUGGGUUGGAGACUUGGAAGGUUGGGUCUGGUUUGGUUCGCGUCACGGGUGAGGGAGACUGCUCACGUGUCACGUCACGUGAAGACGACCAGCGUGCCGCGUGCGCCGUGCGCCCAUGGGUUUUACUAUCGGGCCGGUAUAUGGGCUGCAGGGCCGACCGAUGCUCUCUCACUCCCAAAAGCAUUUGCCAUUUUGUUGACUAAAAAAGAUUUUUUUUCUCAAAAAAAAGACUAAACAAGAUUUAAAAAAACAUUUGCCUUUGUUUUUGUCAAAUGAUAAGUACGACACGCGUGCCACGAAGCACUCCUGCCUUGACGUUUUAUAUACAACUAAAGUUUCCAUCUGAAAAGAAAAAAAAAUAAACUAAAACUUCCCAUCCAAAAAUAAUAAUUUGUCAUACGUGACAACUAAAGGUGACAUCCUCGUGUCAGUAAACUUGUCAUAAAAAAGUUUGGAGUUGCCAUGUGUUUGGGUCACACAUGUGACAUUUAUCAGGGCCUGUGUUUUUUCGGAAGAAAGCAUAGUUUUGACUGCACUGCGGUCUUCACUGCUUUCCACGGUGAUGGUGUUGGCAAUGAUCCUAUCCUCUAUUUCCUAUUCAAUCUUUUUCCCUAAAGAGUCUAUUUAAUGUUUCCUUAAGCUACAGGUUAUGAUGAGCAAGCGAAUGUUCGUUGUAAUUUUAUUUUUUACAUGUCGGCUUGUGUCUUGUUGUUCUUGAUUGUACUGUCUACUAUUUUUCAUGAUAAAUAUCAUAUAUGUAUGCCCUUUCGGUGUCUUUUCUCAAAACAAAACCAUGUUGAUGUCUCAUGUCCUCUCGAUCUCUAACACCAUAUUCAUGUACACCCUAAACCUUGCAAAACUAGAUUAAUGAGGCCCGAGAGGUUUCACGUCACACCAUAGGUGAUUUUCGUUUUUCAAAAUGCUUUGGGCCGGCCCAUGUUGGGGGUGGGGCGCCCUGUUCUUUUUUUAUUUCCAUUGUUGUUUCUCAUUUCUUUUUCAAUUUCUUUUUGCUUUUAAAACUUUACCAAAUGUUCAUGAAUCCCAAAUUCUGCACAAAAGGUUCGCGAUUUUUUUUCAAAUUUCCAAAAAGACAACGAAUUCAAAAAAUGUUCGUGAAUUUGAAAAAAAAAAUGGAAUUUGGAGACUGUUCUUGGAUUUAAAAACACAUUCCAAAUUUUAAAAGAUUGGCUGGCUCGCGAGCCAUCAGAUCUCGCGCAUUGAACAGUCGAGGCAUCAUCCACCAUUGCAACACAGGUCUUGUUUUAGAUUAUUUAUUUUUUUUGCAACAAAGUCUUGUUGCUGAUUUUUUUUCUUAUUUGGAACAAAGGCCUUGUUGCAAAAACUCGUGCCAUAGUGCUUCGUCCCAUGGCAUGCAUGCGUCAAACAGUGCACGUGGCCGAUAGCAUGCCUGCUGCAUCCCGCACAUCGCGGGUAAGUGUCAGCAUGCCCCCACAUGACACGUGGAAGGCGAUGGACGUGAGUGUUGUUUUUGACCUGGUGAUUUGAAUCAUUUCCCAUUUAAAAUUGUUCAAGAAUUUAAUUUUAUUUCCAAAAAAUUUAAAAAUGUUCACAAAUUUGAUAAUGUUUCCGAAUUUCAAAACAUAUUCACAAUUUUGGAAAAAAUAAAAUAUCAAAUAAUUAUGAAUUUAAAAAAUGUUCUUGAAUUUCAAAAAACGUUGUGAAUAUAAAAAUAUUCCAAAUUUUAGAAAUAAUAUUCACGAAUUUGAGAUGAAUGUUCUGGAUUUCAAAAAUGGUAACAAAUUGGCAAUAGUUUCAUGAAUUUAAAAAUUGUUCCAAAUUUGGAAACAAGUUCAAAAAUUUGAGAAAAUAUAACCUUAUUUCAAAAAUUAUUCUUGAAUUUUAAAAAGUACUCAGUUUUUUUUCAUGAAAUUAAAAAAGGUUCAGAUUUUAAAAAAUCAUGAAAUUAAAAAUGUACUUCAUCUGUCCCAUAAUAUAAGGCAUUUUUGCAAGCUAACAUAACUUGUAAAAACAUUUUAUAUUGUAGGACGGAGGGAGUAAAAAAAGAAAAAUAAAUAUGAAAGAAACAAAUCAGAGGAAUAUUUCGCGGGCGGGGGUGCGUGUUUGAUCGCUAUCCCUCGACCUGGGUACAAGAGAUUAUGACUCAUAACUUUUUUUAGUAUAAAGAUUAUGACUCAUAAGGUUUUCUUUUGGCGUCUGCUACGCCUAAGCCGGCUGAUGCCAGCCAAUUUUAAACCGCCUCGCCCACCAUCGGAUGCAAUGGACUGUGACCCUCCGAUUAAUUAAGUGACCCCGACAUAACUUCCAUCUUGUGCACAUGUCUAUCCACAACGUAUCCAACCAGCAACGGCGGCAUCCCGGCGUCGCGUGGCGUAACUCCUGUGAGAGCCUCACAAGCUGCAGCCCUCGGGUUGCAGCAGCCAGGUUUCCCACCCCCUCACAAAAACGGCCGAUGAGCUUCCCACGCACCGCCACCGCAGCAGCCUCGGCGAGCUAUGGGGUUGCAGCACGUCGCUACUGGUGAUGCUUCGGCCGCCUGGCUAUGCUCUAUUGCAACGCAGGAGAUGCUCCGAUGGCUUGGCGACGCUCCAUUGUAGCACGGGCGAUGCUCCGACGGAUUGGGGACACUCCAUUGCAGUACCGGCAAUGCUCCAAUGGCUUGGCGAUGCUCCGUUGCAGCACCGGUGAUGUUCCGGAAGCCCUACGAUGCUCCAUUGCAGCGUCGCGACGUUCCGGCGAGCCCACAAUGUUCCAUUGCAUCACUGACGAGCAAUGAUGUUCCAGCGGUCAACGAGUGCUCCAUCACAGCGCCUACAAGCAGCACCGGCAAUGUUCCAGUGGGCCCACAAUGUUCCAUUGCAUCACUGAUAAGCAGCAUCGGCGAUGUUCCGUUGGUCGACGAAUGCUCCAUCGCAGCACCUACAAGCAGCCCCGACGAUGUUUCGGUGGUCCGACGAAUGCUCCUUCGCAGCGCCGAUGAGCAGCACCGGCGAUGUUCCAGUGGUCCGGCGAAUGCUCCAUCGCAGCGCCGACGAGCAACACCGGCGAUGUUCCGGCGGGCCCACAAUGUUCCAUUGCAUCACUGACGAGCAACGAUGUUCCGGUGGUCAACAAAUGCUCCAUCACAGCGCCUACAAGCAGCACCGGCGAUGUUCCGGUGGGCACUGUAGCGACCCGACCCAAAUGGAUCAAGUCUCUGUGCUUAAGUGUCAUCCCUGGAUCGGUAUGCUGACACACACAGUACUCGAGGAUUUAUAACAGAGGUAAAUCACAUGUAUAAAGUAACGUAAAUACUAUUACCUCAAUCCAUAUAGCGGAAUUAACAACAAAGUUUUGGAGUUCCCAACAACACCAACGACAAAGUUGAGUGUAGACAUCGUAACCCUAACGUAUCACUUACUCAUCGUAAGGUUCUUGCAACAUGAGACGUUGCAGGCAUGUAGGUCAGCACAUUGAAUGUACUGGCAAAUUCACACCAUAGAGCAAUGAUGAAUAAUAGCUAUCACUACAUGCAUAUUUGGCUGGUGGAGGCUCUAAGUUUAUUUUUGCAUAAAGCCAAUUUUUCCCUACAACAAAGAAAUAUAUUUUAUUUAACUACAAAGUUUGUUGAAAACAUUGAGAAGGUAACCCCAACUCAAUCCCAAUUAAAAGUUAACAACCCAACAAAUUAAUUAGGUAAAGUGAUGAGAUCAACAUAAUAAUUCAAGCACCAGAUACUCAAGAUGUCCAUAACCGGGGACACGGCUAAUCAUGAUUAGUUUAUACGCUCUGCAGAGGUUUGCGCACUUUUCCCCACAAGACUCGAUCUCCUCCGUUAUACUUCUCGCACUGCAUGAUGUUUGAGAAACGGAUGACUGAGACACAAUCUUUCAAAAGCGUUAGCUCGUUACGACGGGUAGACAGUACCACCUACAUCCCCUACAUCUACUAGUCUACCACUGUAAGAGGUCACACAACAUACUCAACUAUGCCAGAGCCCAUAAUGUCUUGUGGCUGCACACGGAAGUUUCCAGCAUGAAUAACAUAAUGAUCCCUUUGAGCCUGGGUGGUGAACCAUAGGAUGAUCACACGGGUACCCCGGGAUCUCCUAGGACAACACUGGAUUCCCCAGGUGCCCGGGCAAGCCACUGGUAUCCCCAGGGUGCCCCAACCAAUCCGCCCAGAUGUGUAUUAAAGUAGACACCUUAAGUUUCCCUUAGUUAAUAUAACUCUCACAUCUUUCAUGAAAUCUCACAUACCUGUUUUGAAUCGAAAGUGCUUGAUCCUUUGUCAAUGGUUACAGAGAGUAUAUAUAUCCCCUGGAGAGACGCGACGAUCCCGAAGAGAUGCAUCGGUUCCAGGAGGACGGGAGAGAGGCGACGGUUGCAACGGACACAGGCGUCCGUACGGGUGCAACUCGUUCGAUGGGCAAGGGGAGAUUUCCCUUAAUUACAGAUUAUAGUUUAAUCUUAACACUCCCCCUAAUUUACGCUUGACCAUGUAGAAUCAUCUUCACGAUUGUCCGGGAAGCUCUAUCAUCUCAAAAGAUUCUCCUUCAAAAGUUCUUCAUAAAAUCUUUGAUGAGAUCCUGAAACAUAUACUCACAAAGAAAGAUAGCAUAAUGUGAUGUCAUUAAAAUAAGGAUAUCUCAAGAAGAGACUCCCCCUAACACCUGCAAGUCCCUAAGUCUUCGCAUACCAAUUCCAUGAACACAUUUCUGGAAUGUAGAAUUUGGUAGAGACUUGGUAAAUAAAUCAGCAAGGUUGCCGCAUGAUUUGACUUGCAGAAUGCUUAUUUCCCCGCUUUUCUGAAGAUUAUGGGGGGAAAACCAUUUAGGAGAAAUAUGCUUGGUGAUAUUACUCUUGAUGUAUCCUGUUUGCAUCUGCGCAACACAUGCCACAUUAUCUUCAUAGAUAAUGGUAGGCGAUUUUAUCGAACCCAUUCCACAUGACUGUUGUAUGUGGUUUAUCAUUCUGCGAAGCCAUACACAUUCACAUGUUGCUUCAAAUAAUGAAAUUAUUUCAGAAUGAUUGGUAGAUGUUGCCACCAGAGUCUGUUUCGAAGACUUCCAUGAUAUAGCAGUGCCACCAUGUAGGAACACGAAGCCGGUCUGAGAUCUGGCAUUAUGGGGAUCAGACAAAUAACCGGCAUCUGCAUAUCCAAUCAUAUCAGAGUCCUGAUUUUUCUGGAACUGGAAAAAUAGGCCAAGAUCCUUUGUGCCUUGGAGAUAUCGAAAGAUAUUCUUCACUCCAGACCAAUGACGUUUGGUGGGAGCUGCGCUAUGUCUAGCAAGUAGAUUCACUGCAAAUGCAAUAUCAGGUCUUGUGCAAUUUGCAAGAUACAUAAGCGCCCCAACAACACUAAGGUAUGGAACUUCAGGUCCCAACACCUCUUCUCCAUCAUCCCUUGGUCUGAACGGAUCUUUCUCUAUGUCUAGAGAUCGAACCACCAUGGGAGUUUUAGAUGGAUAGGAUUUGUCCAUAUUGAAUUUCUCCAAUAUUUUCUGGAUAUAGGCAGAUUGGUGUACCAUGAUUCCUGAGGGAAGAUGCUCAAGUUGAAUACCUAAGCAAAAUUUGGUUUUACCCAAAUCCUUCAUCUCAAAUUCCAUCUUUAGGUGAUUGCGUGCUUCAUCAAUGUCUGGUGUGCUGCCGAUGAUGUUGAGAUCGUCAACAUACACAGAAAUGAUGCAAAAUCCUGUAGAUGACUUCUUGAUGAAAACACAUGGGCAAUCAGCACUAUUGGAGUAACCUUUCUGAAGAAGGAACUCACUGAGUCGGUUGUACCACAUCCGUCCCGACUGCCUUAAGCCAUAUAAUGACUUAUUCAGCUUUACACAAUACAUGUUGCGUUUUGCAUUUUUAUUCGGGACAGAGAUUCCAUCAGGAACCUUCAUAUAUAUGUCCGAAUCUAGUGACCCAUAAAGAUAUGCGGUCACGACGUCCAUCAACUGCAUAGAUAGACGAUUUUGCACUGCCAAGGAUAUAAGAUAUCGGAAAGUGGUUGCACUCAUUACUGGAGAAUAUGUUUCAGUGAAAUCAAUGCCGGGUUUUUGCGUGAAACCUUGUGCUACGAGCCUUGCUUUAUAUCUCACCACCUCAUUGUUCUCAUUCCGUUUCCGGAGAAAAACCCAUUUGAAUCCCACAGGGAAAACACUGGGAGGUGUAGGUAUUGCUUCAGUGAAUACCUUUCUUUUGUUAAGCGAGGCAAUUUCUGCUUGGAUUGCAUCCUUCCAUUUAGGCCAGUCGGAGCGCUUUUGGCACUCAACGAUAGACCUUGGAUCAUGAUCAGUGAGAAGGGUAUCUGCAAUCUUUUCAGCAAAAUAUAUGUCGACAGUCGUAGUCUUACGGUUAAAUGAUUCUCCAGAAUCAACAUAGUUGAUGGAAAUUUCCUGCACCCCUAGUGACUCUUCGUGAUUUCCCAAUACGAUCGAGUCUGGGUGUUCCGAUGUCCCAGUCAGUUUGUGCAUACUGGAACUAGGUUGUGGAGGUUGCCCUUCGACUGGGUGUAUACUACCCAUCAGGUGUUUGUCAACGUUGAGUUGACCUGCAUUUACUGACUCCGAGGUUUUUCUCCUCGAUUUCCUUUGCAGCUUGCUAGAAGCAUGCUCCGGGUCAGAGGCCGUACUACUCCCCCUCUUUUUAGGAAUAGGGAGUUGAGUGGUUUUUAUUGGUACCUCCACUCUUUCUGGCGCGUUUCUGGCCGGGUUUAAGGAUUUUGUAACACCUUUCAAAUCAAUAAAUGAAUCUGGCAGAUUAUUUGCAAGAUGUUGCAAAUUAAUGAUCUUCUGAACUUGAAGUUCGGUCUCUUGGGUACGUGGAUCAGAGGAUGAAAUGGAAUGAGCAUUCCAAUCAAUUUCCGGGCAUUCUUUCUGGUACUUGAAAUCUCCCCCUAAUGCCGGAAAAUGUUCCUCAUUAAAUAUGCAAUCAGCGUGACGGGCUGUGAACAGAUCCCCAGUCAGGGGUUCCAGGUACUUAAUAAUCGACGGCGAUUUGUACCCCACAUAGAUCCCCAACUUUCUGUGUGGGCCCAUAGAUGUCCGCUGUGGUGGUGAGAUCGGGAUGUAUGCAGCACAUCCGAACUUACGCAAAUGGGAAAUGCUUGGAGGAUUUGCACGUACCAAUUCCAGAGGGGAAGAACUGUGAUAUGCAGUUGGCCUCAAUUGUAUCAAGUCAGCAGCGUGUAAAACAGCGUGACCCCAACAAGAGGUUGGCAAGUUGCAAUUCGUCAACAAAGGUCUUGCAAUGAGUUUGAUCCUCUUAAUCAACGCUUCAGCCAAACCAUUUUGUGUAUGGACAUAUGGAACAGAGUGCUGAACUUCAAUCCCCAAAGCCAUGCAAUAAUCAUUGAAAGCACGUGAGGAGAAUUCUGCAGCAUUGUCCAUUCGAAUUGAUUUAAUCCGACUUUCAGGAUAAUGGGCUUGCAACUUAAUGACUUGCCUCAUUAUCUUGGCAAAUGCAUGGUUUCGUGUGGAUAGAAGACACACAUGUGACCAUCGUGUAGAUGCGUCAAUCAGAACCAUGAAAUACCGGAAAGGUCCAGAUAAUGGCUGAAUGGGACCACAAAUGUCUCCAUGAAUACGUUCAAGGAACUGAAGUGGUUCAGCUUGUAUUUUGAGGUGUGAGGGCCUCAAAAUUAGCUUUCCCGUGGCACAAGAUGUGCACACAAAAUCAGAGAUUGAGGAAAUUUCGACUCAAGCAAAUUAUGACCAAUGGAAUUGCUAGUAAUUUUUCUCAUCAUCCCUAUUCCAGGAUGGCCUAGGCGAUCAUGCCAGGUUUGGAAUGCGUUAACAUUCUGAAAAAUUACUUUGUAUGCAACAUGUUCCACGGGUUUGAUGUACGUAUAGUACAAACCAGACGAUAGAGAAGGAAUUUUCUCAUGUACCUUUUUGCCAUAUCCGUCAUCUUUAGUAAAGAGUAGAUACUCCUCUUUGUUGUCUUCAUGGGUUUCAAUAUGAAAACCAUUUUUACAGAUAUCUCGAUAACUGAUCAGGGUACGUGCAGAAUCGGGAUAUAGUAAAGCAUCCUCAAUUGUCACAUAUGUACCACUUGGGAGGGUGAAUAUGGCACGUCCAGUACCAACAAUCACAGUAUCAUGUCCAGCGAUAGUUAGAAUAUCUCCAUUCGUCUUUUUCAGAGUUUGGAAAUAUUUCAUCUCCCUCAGUAUGGAGUUUGUGGCACCACUGUCCACAAGGCAUAAUUCCUCUUCCAUCGGAUUGUCCCCGUAGAAAACUAUAUAAAACAAAGAAUUUUCAAUAAGAAAACCUCAUAGUAAUAUAUAGAAUACAAUCUUUAUUAUAUCAAAUGUGUUGAUACAAUACAAUAUAAAGACAACAACAAACUUAUGUUCUUAUUACAAUCAUCACAAAUGGACAUAAUUAAGUAGAUCACUAGGAGAUUGAGGGACUAGUCGAAGUCGCCAAACACGUUGUUUGCGGUGUACUCAAUCAACGUGUUCUCCAUUUCAGUAGUAGCCUCAGGCAGAUAAGGAACCACGGCGUUGCUCGGUCCAGGAGGAACAUCGUGUGAACCACCAGCUCCUUUUGCGCUAUCCGGAUGAAGGUUGAAGUUGGCUUCAAACCUUUUCCCUUGAGGUGCUUUGCGUCCCUGAGAUUGCUGGUACAGCAUAACCAGAUGCUUGGGCAUUGUGCACUUUUCAGUAGAAUGCGUGGAGCAUCCACACUUGUUGCAAAGCUUAGAUUUAUCAAGCCUGGGCUUUGAAGUGCCUUUUCCCUUGCCUGGGUAUCUAGAUCUCUUGUUCCCAUUGCGCUUUCGCUUAUGCUCGAAAUUGGAUUGUUUACCCCGAGGGGUACCAUUAAACUUUUGUCUAUUUGCAACAUUCAGAUGGACUUCAGGUAAAGGUUGUGCCCCAACUGGGCGCUGAGAGCCAUUCUUAGCAAGUAGCUCAUCAUGCUUUUCAGCCUGAAGUAACAUGUGAAUAAGCUCGGAAUAGACAGUGUAGUUACAAGCACGGUAUUGUUGUUGGAGGAUCCUAUCUGAAGGGAGCAUAGUAGACAAAGUUUUCUCUAUCUUCUCCCCCUCAGUAGGUUCCUUCUCACAAAAGCGCAGUUUGGAACAUAUCUUAUGAACAGCAUGAUUGUACUCACCGAUGGACUUGAAAUCCUGAAGACGGAGACAAGUCCAAUCAUGGAGUGCUUCGGGCAGGACUACUGCCUUCUGCUGUUCAUACCUCGUUUUGAGGGCCAGAAACAGAGUACUAGGAGAUUCCUCCUGUAAAUACUCAGACUUGAGAUCUGGAUGAAUAUGGUGCCUUAUGAUGAAUAAGGCAGCAUAGUUCUGCUGUUCUGUCAGCGGCGUGGCCCCAUCCGGGAGAGGAGUCUCCGGGGGUUGUAUUGCACGCGCUAUCCCACGGGACGCAAGACUGAUCUUGAUGUCCAUAGCCCAUGUAGGGUAAUUGUGGCCGUUGAGGGCAAACUCCUCAAACUCUUUGGCAGUCAUCUUUGCCUACAUGGGAAAACCAGAGAUAAUUAAUUUACAGGUGGUAAAUUAAAAACCAUCAUGGUUCUGUAAUAAGAAUGCAAAUUUUUUGAUACUCAAGUGUAAACUUGAAAAAUUCUCAACCUCAAUUGUGUGAACAUAACACUUUGAAGAUCACUUAGAUCUCACAGUAAUAGGCUACAUCGCCACUACCUUGUGUAUGCUACAAUUCAGAUAUAAGGAAUACACGUUGGAGGUAAUCGCUUGUCGAGAAUGACAAAGCGUAGACCUCACGGUAAGAGGGGAUAAUCUGCAAAUGAGCAGUAGAUCCCAACUCAUUACCUUGUGAUUCCAAAUAUAGUGAGGGAGAAAUAUUCAAAAAUUUGCAAGUUUGGUGUGCGAGAGAAGAUGAUCUCGAUCGCUAAAACAUGUUCAAGAGAACUUGAUAUGUGGUAAACACAUGGAACAUGUCAUUCUUCCCAGAUGAAAUCCGGUACUUUAUUUAUAUUAUCAAUCCAUUACAUAAUAUAAACACACUAAUAAUUACACUAGUCCUAGUCAGAUGUAAUCUAGAACAGGACUAGAAUGUAAGUAGCACUCAAACUAGGUACUAAACAGUACUAAACAGAGUAAAACUGCAUAAAUACAAACAUUAGUACUACUGUUAAUAAAAUAGAGAGAAAACGAAGUAAGAAUCCAGGCCAGAAGGAGGCGGCUGGAGGACACAGCAGGCGCCUGGGCCUGGGCCUCCAUGGCCUUUGGCCAGCCCACCCGCAGCCCCACCGCAUAAGAGAGGGAGGAAGCGGCGGUUACGGAUAAGGGUCUGAGACCCGAAGUCGCACCACCCGCUCGAUCCCCUUCCCCGCACGGCGCCGGCGACUGGAGUGGCCGCCGCAGCCCCUCGCGGCGCCGGAGGUCACCGGCGCAACACCGACGAGCCUUCCUCGUCCGAAGAAAGACACGAUGACGACAGGGUCCGGGCGAGCACCCUCUGGCGCGGCGCUGGCGAGGCCGAGGCUCNNNNNNNNNNNNNNNNNNNNNNNNNNNNNNNNNNNNNNNNNNNNNNNNNNNNNNNNNNNNNNNNNNNNNNNNNNNNNNNNNNNNNNNNNNNNNNNNNNNNNNNNNNNNNNNNNNNNNNNNNNNNNNNNNNNNNNNNNNNNNNNNNNNNNNNNNNNNNNNNNNNNNNNNNNNNNNNNNNNNNNNNNNNNNNNNNNNNNNNNNNNNNNNNNNNNNNNNNNNNNNNNNNNNNNNNNNNNNNNNNNNNNNNNNNNNNNNNNNNNNNNNNNNNNNNNNNNNNNNNNNNNNNNNNNNNNNNNNNNNNNNNNNNNNNNNNNNNNNNNNNNNNNNNNNNNNNNNNNNNNNNNNNNNNNNNNNNNNNNNNNNNNNNNNNNNNNNNNNNNNNNNNNNNNNNNNNNNNNNNNNNNNNNNNNNNNNNNNNNNNNNNNNNNNNNNNNNNNNNNNNNNNNNNNNNNNNNNNNNNNNNNNNNNNNNNNNNNNNNNNNNNNNNNNNNNNNNNNNNNNNNNNNNNNNNNNNNNNNNNNNNNNNNNNNNNNNNNNNNNNNNNNNNNNNNNNNNNNNNNNNNNNNNNNNNNNNNNNNNNNNNNNNNNNNNNNNNNNNNNNNNNNNNNNNNNNNNNNNNNNNNNNNNNNNNNNNNNNNNNNNNNNNNNNNNNNNNNNNNNNNNNNNNNNNNNNNNNNNNNNNNNNNNNNNNNNNNNNNNNNNNNNNNNNNNNNNNNNNNNNNNNNNNNNNNNNNNNNNNNNNNNNNNNNNNNNNNNNNNNNNNNNNNNNNNNNNNNNNNNNNNNNNNNNNNNNNNNNNNNNNNNNNNNNNNNNNNNNNNNNNNNNNNNNNNNNNNNCCACGGGCGCAGGGAGCACCAUCGUGGUUGCGUCCAGGGGCGAGGGGAGCACCGCGGGGGGCGCGUCCAGCGGCGCGGUGGCGGCCAGGAGCACCUCGUCCAGCGACGCGGUGGCGGCCAGGAGCGCCACGUCCAGCGGCGCCGCGGCCGAAUCGACGGAUGGCUUGCAUCCGGCGACGGAAACAGCGGUGGCCACCAACUCCAUGGCGGCGAAGGGCAAUGAGGCGGUAGCGGCGACCGUCCUCGCGGAUCAGACGGAGGAAGGAGACAAGGCCUGUCAUCUCACCGGCGGCGAGUACUUCCUCUCUUCUCCUUUCUCUGUUGCCUUUCGCUCUCGCUGGCUGUUCUACGUGCGUGAUAACGUGUUUUGAAUCGAAAGUGAUUGAUCCUUUGUCAAUGGUUACAGAGAGUAUAUAUAUCCCCUGGAGAGACGCGACGAUCCCGAAGAGAUGCAUCGAUUCCAGGAGGACGGGAGAGAGGCGACGGUUGCAACGGACACAGGCGUCCGUACGGGUGCAACUCGUUCGAUGGGCAAGGGGAGAUUUCCCUUAAUUACAGAUUAUAGUUUAAUCUUAACAAUACCAAUCCAUGUCUACGAGCAUAGCAAAGUAGUGCAAGCAUAACGCAAUAAUACUCUGGGUUUGAAUGCAAGACAAUAGGUUCCUACCUCAUCAACUACUUCCCAAUACCCACAUGUUAUCAAAACCUACUAGAUCAUUGAAGGCGUGCGUUGCUGCGCCCGUCUAUUUUUGCUAUGGAUUGAUAGGAAUUUUCACAAUUAUUUGAAGAAAAAAAAUAAAACUUAAGGCUAUUCAAUUUCAUCAUUGGCCGUCCUAAUCGUUAAUUUAAGAAUAAAGCAUGCAAGCUGGGUCAUUAAAAGAAUCUCAUGACAUAACACUUACUUUUUUUUAGCCCUAGCAUACAAAAAGGACCCAUGCCUCACAAGAUGCUUUACAACUUACACAUUAUACUUGACAAAACAUAUAUCUGAAGUUAGCGAGUUCUUUACAAAGAAUGUGAUUUAGAAGGUUUAAUUCUCGAUGCACAAGAUGCCUUCAAGAUUUACAACCCUAUCAAAAAUCCUUUUGGGGCUCUUUUUAAGCUGUUGGUUCAGGAAUCAUCUAAUAGCACAAUAUAUGAAACAGAUUACCCCUUCAACAUUUCCAGAGCACAGACUCUUUUAUCAUGAUGAAACUCAUAUAAAAGUUAUAUAAUGAGGUUAAAUCCAACCUUCAAUGAAGAACCAAAGCUGGCAUGUUCCGAAUAUUUUUACACCAUCAGCACUGACUUGUUCGACCAGCUAGCUGGCGCACUGAAGGGAACACCAUGAAUUGACAUAGUCCAUCUAGUUAAUGCAACUUACCAUAAAGCGUUAAAUGACAGCAGCAAACAGCUAGGUUGAAACUUGUCAUCAUCGGGGGAGAGAAUCAUACACUCACUAAGAAAAUGCAAGAGACGGUCCUUUCUUGCUCCGAUGCCUCGAUGAAUCUGAAGUUCAGAACAUUGCCAAUGCCUUAAUUAAGCAUUAUCUAUUUUUUGUAGUAAGAACCAAUAUGCAAAGCCAUUGAAAUAAACCUGAGAAACAGUUCACACGAAAAUACUCAAUUUUCAUAACAAGGUUGAGCUAUAAGGGGAGGAAAUCUCUACCAGCUCACCCUAGAAUGGUAUCAAACUUGACAUACCACUUCCGAUGGUAAUCACAAAACCUACAAAACAAGAAGGAACCAGAUCAAAUCCUCACACCACAAACUACAAAAUCGAACCAGCAAGAAUUUUUGGGACCCAUCGCCGCUCAUCGAGGUAGAACUUAUGGCCUACCCUCACUGGUUGCUUUAUUGAGAAAUUCAAGAACUUCUUGAAAGCAGCAGCUAUCAUUGGUGUCACUGGAGUUGCUUCCCAUUGUUGCAAAGUUGGCUUGCUAUUGCAUCCAGAAAUCAUGUCAAUAUGGAGGACAAAAGGGAAUGUAUGCAAAAAUAUGUUCAUUGGUCUUAAAAAGAACAUGAUCCAUUUAUUCUAUUAUUUACAUUCUUUACUAUAGGAUUUGAACUAUCUUCAGCCUCUCAGAAAUAUCUGUGAGUAGUGGGCACAUGAAGAAACAACAAUAUCAUUAGUCAUAGUCUACACACACAGAUAGUUGUAAAAGCAAAUAUAUAGUGUCGAGCCUAAUGGCUUGGAUGAUUCCAGGCUAAAGAGAAGUGGCUAGAUUUUUUUUAAAAAGUUGAUGUUCCGAUGGUACAUCAUGCACAAACUUGCUUAACUGAAGGAAAAGAUAUAUACGAAGGUUUUAGACCUGACUUUAAUGGGUUGGGCGAUUUCAAGCUAAAAGGCAAAUAUCUAGGUAAAUCCUUCAGAAUUUGGGUAUAACUGCUUUAGUUGUUUUAUUAGGAGCUUGUGCCAUAUGGAUUGAAACAGCUGAUUCUGUUCACAUAAGAUUGAACGUGUAUGCACGAAGUGCUGAUUAAACUGGGCAGGAAGCUUGUCUAACCUGUAGGGAUGUGGAGUAGACUCGUUCGUUGUUCAGGACUCAGUAGCAUUAAUGCAGAGAGUAGUUGAGUAGAAUCAGGAAGAUAUAUUAUUUUUCCACGCUGGUGCCGAGAAAUUGUAAGAAUAUGGUCGAGCAUGGGUGACACUUCUAUUAAGAUCGUGGAUGACAAGGAAAUACAUGUCAACUUCCAUGAUGCAAGUACAAAAUAUAUAUGAGACCAUAUUCUGAAGAUGCAAAGUUUCAUAUUGCAAUAAUAACUAACUAAAAACACUUCACAGAAACAAUAAGGUAUGUAGAUGUAGAAUUAUAUUUGCACUGCAAAAUAUUAAGUGUCUGCAUUCUUCAUGUAAGCAUAGUCCUACUAAGAAGCAUACUUCUCUAUUGCUGCGAAAUUCACAUCCAUGUAGUAUUUUGCGAUAACUGAUGUAAAGCUUAUUUAAUGUAAAGGUUCACAAAAUUAACACCGAACUAAUUUUAAGCAUAAUCUGUCAGUUCACCUCACAAGUUGAAUAAGACCAUAGGAAGAGAUUCAGGGUAUGUUCUCUUGUCAGGUCUGAUGCCAAAAGUUUCCAACUCUGAGUAUGGUUUGCCCAUGACUUCAUGCUUCAGUACAACCGAUCAUUCCUGCAUGGUUAUCAUCAAAAGGUGUCUCAUUAAUCUUCUUUGGCUCAAACUACAGUGAAACAUUAGGCAAUAUACUUCAGUUCAUAGGUCAAGACUCAAGAGGAUAGGUGAUGAGAACCUUACCCUUGCCUUUGGAUGAAGAUGAGGAGGCUGGCCACGGGAAGCAGGAACGGCAGGAACCGCAGGCUGCAGUGCCACCUACACUCCGCACGGCUCCUCCACGCCUAUGACACCGUCAUGUUUUUCGCCACGCCGUUAUCGUCGCCUGUCAGAGGGGCAUCCGCCACCGCCGGCUCCGUUAGGCUUGCACACCGGCGGCCAAGUCGCGAGCCGGUGCCAGAGACGAGAGGUCGGCAGGAUUACUUGGGAGGGAUGGGUCCGCUCGACUAUCCCCUCGCGCUGGAUCCCCUUGCCGAUCCUCUCAUGGCGCUUCGGCUGGAGCGCGUCCGCUAGAUCCCCACGCGCGCCUCGGCUGGAUCCGUUCAUCCUCUGACUACGCCACGAUGAUGGUGGCGGCGGCGCAUGUGUCGUGGGUGAGAGAGAGGAGAGAUGAGGGUAGGAAUUGAAGGGGAGGGACGAGAAGUCAGCCUGGAAUCGGAGGAAGCGAACGACCACCGUUCAUCCGGGAUCGGACGACACAUAGUACUCCCUCCGUCCCGAAAAACAAGGGCUUUUUCGCAAUUUAGUCCUUCGAACUUUCCCGACCAAACCCCCGCUGUCCACCCCGUCUCCUUCCUCGCUCUCUUCGUCGCUCCCCCACUCCGGCGACGGCGCUGCCUCCGACCCUCCGCCCCACGCCCCACGCCACCUUGCUCCCCCCAGGCCACCUUGCUUCCCCCACCCACCUCUUCGCCGCACCACGUAGCCGUCGCCUCUCCCCCCACGCCGCCCCCCCACGCCGCCGGCUCGUUCCCCUGCCAAAACAGAGCAGGCGGCAAGGUUCGAUUUUUGCCGCCGCCUGGUUCACCUGCGCGUCGUGGAUAACCGGCUAGUCUCCGUCGACCUCAUCCCUUCCCCCCACAGCUGCACCCCGCCGCUCCCGCGUCAUCUUCGGCCGGCGGCCCCGCCACGCCGCAGCUCCUUCGCCAGCAAGCCGACGCCGCCUUCCACCCCGUGUCGCCGUCGCCAGCAGGUAGACGACGCCGUCCACUCCUGUUCAGCCACGGCACCAUCGUCCAGCACCUCAAGGCCGUCCACUCCUGUUCAAGAUUUCAGAUUCAGAGGUGAGUACUGAAACUACUUGAUGCUAAGAUUCAGACUAAAGUUCACUGUCAAAACUGUCAAUUUGCUCCUUGAUGUGGGCAUUUCUAGUUUGAUCCAGAGAUUCAGAAGAUUAAGCGACCCAUUCGCACAUCUAGAGCCAACGUAACGCGUCAAUAAUUCAUCGACGUUUGUUUACUGAUUGCCGCUAAAGUUUGAUGCUUUCGAUCUGGACAUGAUUGGGAGAGAGAGAGAGAUGUAAAACAAGAUGAGAUAGAAACUAGUUCUUCUACAACUUGUAUCUGGUUUCACACCCUUUUCUUUAGAUCCAGGGACAUAGGUCAUGCUGGCAUGGUAGCUUACAUUGUAGUGCUGAUGCAGAGGUCUCCUCUAGUUGGGUUAAAUUAAGGCGGUGACAUCACGUCUCGGUGUUAGAGUUCUUUUAUCGGCAUGCUGUCGGGUAAUUAAGCAAAUCUAACGAGGUUCAAGUGAAUGCUGCUAAUUCUUUUUCAUUUGGUUUGUAGUGCGGCUUUCCGUAAUAGGGGACUAUAGACACUUUAUUUCUUUUUUUGACGGUGCUACGGCGGGCUUACUAUAGAAACUUCGUGACUGUAGUUGCUGCUGCACUAGCACUUGUGGUGCAGCUAGCUAGAAGCUAAGCUUGCCUGAAUUAUUUGUUCGGCUUAAUUAUCUGCUACUCUUAUCAUGUAAACAAAUCGAGACCAUUCUACAUGCUUGUUUGUGACUAAGAAAGAGUAAAGUAACGGUAAUUAACAAAGAGUAAAGUACUCCCUGAUGUGGGCCUCCUCAUUGGUUGUAAAGCAAAGCAAUUUGACAUUUUUCAAUCAUGAGUAAAUCAGAAACUAGUCUCAGCUUGAGUCCUGAUCUUGUGCAUUUUCUUUUUCUUUCAGUGAACUAGUCUAGCUAUUGAGUCAUGAUGUACUGUAGUUUUUUAUUUAAAUGUUUAAUUGACAAAUCAUUUUAAAUGGUGUGCACAGGUUUCAGUGAACUAGUCUCAGCUUGAAACAGUUAACUGAAUUUUGUCAGUGGAACGGAUCUUUUUGAACCACUCUGAAUUCUGUUUCUGAAAAAUAGUCGGGUCAUCUUCACAUCCUGUGUUGUCUGUGUUUCUGAAAAAACAGUUAACUGAAUUUAAAUGUUGUUAAUGCAUUUUAGAAUUUUAGAAUGACUGAAUUUUCAGCCAAGUUUGUUUCUGAACAGUAGUGACAUGGAGUAGUGUAGUGGUCCUGUAGUGACCAAAUUUUCAAAUACUCUCUGUAAGUUGGUGAAAAUACCCCUUAUAUACUCUUACAACCUGGGUAUGAACCUCUCUUCUCUACUUCAUCUUUACUGAAUUUACUGAAUGUGUGUAUUCUCUGAACCACUUAUUCUCUGUCUACUGAAUUUUAGUGAAUGUGAGAUGUACUCCUGUAAACUGAGAUGUGCUUUUGUAAAGUGUGAUGUCAACUUGUGAAUUAUACUCUGUGCAGUUGUUUCUGAGGACAACUGUUUAUUGCCUGAAAGAUAACACAGAACUGAUCAAACAUCUUGUAGGAGUAAUUAACUAGCUAUUUUACUCAAGGAAACCUUCCUCAGAUUAACUUGUUUAUUUGCAGUACUUCUCUCUGUCUGUACAACAAUUCUUUAAACUGGAAAAGAGGAGGCAAAAGGGAACAUGUGUAGCUGAUGUCUGAGAGCCUAAAACUUGCUUAUGCAGUAAAUUGCCCAAGUUAGCUGUAAUACAUUCAUCUUACUGCAAACAAGAAUGGUGUGCCCAGGUUUACACUACUGUUUUCAGUUAACUAAACUGGCAAAGACUAUGACAUGACAAGUGUCAAAUAGUUCAAUUUAUCUUGCAAGUACAGUUUGACCAGAUUAUAUACUGCAAUUUUGUUUCAAUUAGAUGAUUGGCUUACUGGAGUACAGAUUAACUGAAUCCUGAAACCUGACAUACAACACACAACAUGCUUAGUCCCUCUUUAGUUCAUUCACUUCACAUCAUUCAACUUUAGAGUUGUGAUUCAUGAUUUGGACAUAUGGGUGCCCUCUCUUUUCUUUGUAAUUUUGAUUGGGAGUAAAUGACAAAAUUAUAGGCCAUUUUUUGAGAGUGGACUGUUUUCCAUUAUGUUUCUGCUUCAAUCUGAAUACCAUCUUAAUGUCAUCUCUGAAUGAGUACUGUAUUAAUGAUCAUUAUUACAGGAAGCAACAGCGGCACGAAGAGAUUACACUGGAUGUCUACUCCUUAUGCUUGCAACAACAACAUCACUAAGAGAUUACAACAAGGAACAACAGCAGUUGCUACAGAUCAAUCUACAGGUCAGAGAUUACACUGUACCUUCUUCUUCAGAGAUGAUCAGCAGCGAAGAACAGCAGCGCAACACGAGCACGAGCUCCACCGGCAAGCAUGGAGCAUGGGCGAGCGUGCACGCACCCGAGCUUGGGUGGCGGCGGCGCCGGUUUUUGGUCACCGGAGGAGCUACUGACGAGCUCCAAUGGCGGCGAGCGGCAGACCACCACGACCAGGAGAACCAGCAACCAAUCGACAGCGGAAAAGAGACCUGGAGGACCCGAAGAUCACCCUGAAGCUGUUGAGCAGCUCGAGGAAGCCAUAGGAGGAGCGAUGGCGUUGAGCUCAUGUGCGGAAUCGGCGGCCGGAGUGGGAGGAGACGGGAUCGAUUCUGUCGAUCCACGGCUUCCCAGCAAGCGUGGCUCAAGGAGGACGUAUGUCUGGGCGAGGCGGAGCUCCUGGUAUGCUCGGGGAGGACUAAGGAGGUGCGACGUCGCCGAGCUCCUGUGCUGACGCUGCUGCCGGCGUGGGAGGAGACGAGCUCGUUUUUGGAGUGUGGGGGGAGCUCCUGUGCGGAAGCAGCGACCAGCAGCAGGGGAGAAGCAGCGACCGGCCGGCAGCAGCCGUUUUGGCCAACGGCAGGAGAUCCACCAGCCUGGAGCCUGGCCGGCGGCAGGAUCUUCCCGCGCCUGGAUCCUGCGUGCGGGUUGAUUUUAGAGAAUUCAAAGUUGCGGAAGGUUGUUUUUGUAAAAAGUGCGAUAGUUCAAAUUUGAAACCCCCUGCGACAUGUUUUUCGGGACGGAGGGAGUAAAAAACAACGAGAGGGCUUGGAUUUGGUUUCCGGAGCAGCUGCCCACAGAACAGUUGGCCCAGGAGUAGCCCAUGCGCGGGAGGAGGUGUAUCAGAUGGCCAAAAAUGAUUAAGACACGGAAUCCGACGGCAAAGAGUGUGGAUGCGUGAGAGGGAUCGGAUUAGGCUCAGUUUUACUGUUCUUAAUUCAUGCAAUGUUUGAGGGUAAAACUAAUGCAUAAAAACUGGGUAAUAAAUGGAUAUGAUCAAAGUGUGAACUUGCCUUGUACUGUUGAUGAAGAUGAUUCGCACUCAUAACUCCCGAUAGUUCUACUCAUCACACUCUGGUCAAUCUAUCGUAAGCAAGCAAUAGUAACCACGCAUAAGCAAUCAUGCAAAAGAAUCGAAGAAAAGAUCUCGGAAAACUUCAAAAACAAACAAUUAACUUUUGCAACAGAAAACAAUUUCUAACAGUACAAAAUUGGGUGGAUUUGGUCUUAUCAGAAAGUUCAGGUCAAGAGUUUCAAUUAGCAAAAAGAAUCAAUUAAAUCGGAGUUAUAAAACUCGAAUUAUGAACAAAAGAAGUUUGAAUUCAAAUCUGUUUGAAAUCAAAUUUUAAACUUUCAAAAACAUGUUUAAGUUGAUUAUCUGGAUAGAGGGGAUCAUAACGAAGAAGUGGGCGUUGGUUUCGUUGGAUUUGGACAAGCGAGUAAAAAGUUGUGGUCGUUUGAAAACAAUGGGCUAAACUGUAAAUAAACUGAUUGCAUCCGGGUCCCUAGCCGAAAUUAAAAAGAAAAGAAAAUUUUUACCGAACGAACGUUCGCUAACAGAGGCUAAAGGGCGAAAACUGUUCGCUAAAGAAGCUAAACUAAUGAACGUUCACUAAAUAACUAAACCGGUUUUGAAACGAAAAACCAAACUAAAACAACUAGGAAGAAAACCGGGCGAACCGGGCGGUUUAUACCGGUUCAAGCGGGUUGGUGGCGGAUCGGAUCGGGCGUCAGCGUCUCGGCUCCGGCGGCUCGGCGGUUGCGGGGCGGCAACGGCAAGACGGCGGCGGGGUUGUGCGGCGUGGGCGGCGCUGCAAGCGGCGGCGGCGCGACAACGGCGGCUAGGCGAGGCAGCAGCAGCGACGGCGAGCAAUUGCGGCGGCGGCGGUGGCGGCUACGAUCCGAGGAGGAGAGAAGGGGGUCGGGGUCCGGGGCUUAUAAAGGGGCGGAGAGGGAGCGGCGGC
rnacentral:lncRNA from 1 species